UGCCCUACGGGACGCAGCAGUAGGGAAUUUUCGUCAAUGGGCGCAAGCCUGAACGAGCGAUGCCGCGUGAGUGAAGAAGGCCUUCGGGUCGUAAAGCUCUGUUGUGGGGGAAAAAAGGCAGCAUCAGGAAAUGGGUGCUGACUGAUGGUGCCCCGCCAGAAAGUCACGGCUAACUACGUGCCAGCAGCCGCGGUAAUACGUAGGUGGCGAGCGUUAUCCGGAGUGAUUGGGCGUAAAGGGAGCGCAGGCGGUCUUGCAAGUCUGGAGUGAAACGCAUGA
rnacentral:rRNA from 1 species